UACGUAGGGUGCGAGCGUUGUCCGGAAUUACUGGGCGUAAAGAGCUCGUAGGUGGUUUGUCGCGUUGUUCGUGAAAACUCACAGCUUAACUGUGGGCGUGCGGGCGAUACGGGCAGACUGGAGUACUGCAGGGGAGACUGGAAUUCCUGGUGUAGCGGUGGAAUGCGCAGAUAUCAGGAGGAACACCGGUGGCGAAGGCGGGUCUCUGGGCCAUUACUGACACUGAGAAGCGAAAGCAUGGGGAGCGAACAGG
rnacentral:rRNA from 1 species